rnacentral:rRNA from 1 species
UACGUAGGGGGCUAGCGUUGUCCGGAAUCAUUGGGCGUAAAGAGCGUGUAGGCGGUCCGGUAAGUCCGCUGUGAAAGUCGGGGGCUCAACCCUCGAAUGCCGGUGGAUACUGUCGGGCUAGAGUGCGGAAGAGGCGAGUGGAAUUCCUGGUGUAGCGGUGAAAUGCGCAGAUAUCAGGAGGAACACCUAUUGCGAAGGCAGCUCGCUGGGACGGAACUGACGCUAAGGCGCGAAAGCGUGGGGAGCGAACAGG